GUCGCAUUUAGGACAUGGACAGAACUACACUUUAAAAGAUAAAAAAAAUAAAAAGUAGUUGACUCGGUAGAGAAAACAGGCAGGAUCAUUAAAGGUGCACAUUUCACUGUAAUUUAAAAAUAAUUAAUAAAUGAACAUGGUGUUGACUAGUUUUGAGACCGCAAGCUCAAAUAGUUGCACAAAUAAACACAUGUAGAAACUAUUCUAGCAAGAAACACUCGGACCUUACUAGCAAGAGACCAAACCUACUGUAAAACUAACAAGAUGCAGGUUUUUAAAAGGCUGUUUGAGCAUCACUGGCAUGUUUAGGUGGAAUUGCGUUGGCCACUGAGGCAGAUAUACUGCUAAUAGUCUAGAUAAAUAUGCAUAUUAAUUUCACUCACUGCAGGCACUUGCAAUCACUUUAACAUGAUCAUCUUGGAUUAUACUCACAUGACGUGCUCAGUAUAUGUCUAAAGAUCUCAAGGAGUAAGCACACGCUUGUGUUGCCUGUUCCACAGGUCAGACUGACCAAAGAUAAGCCUUAGAGAUAACAAAUGUCUUGACCUCCCUGAAAUUACUGUUGUGCAACGCAAGUAGGGCAGACUAGUGUUCGUCAUUUGAUUGAAAAAAAACACAUCUAAUAAGAUUACUUAAGAAUAAUUAUGCUUGUGAUGGUAACAGCAGUAACAUUGCUCACUUGUCAGGGAAUUUGUGCAAAUAUUGUAGUGCUAAUGAGAAUUACCAUGUGGUGUAUUGAUAGUGCUUUAUUGCAUGUUUUUUCCCCAAGAGUUUUUUGCCGUUCGAAUUGAGCAGUGUAGUAGCUGAACGCAUUUUGAAGAAUUUUCUGUCACAGAGAAACGGAUAUUGUUUUAUACAUGGUAUGCUAAUUUUUGUACUGUGUUUUCUAGAUGGUUAUUUUCUCAUUAACAUAAACAUAUGCACUACUUUUUCUAUAUAUUGUUGUUGUUUUUUUCCCCCCCAAGUCAUUUAGGCACUUUUUUUUUUUUUUUUUUUUUCCACACACAAAAUGUCUUUUUGCAAUACCUCAUUUUUUGUUUUUCAAUUGUUGGGUAUAGAUUUUGUACCUUUGUUAUGAAGACACAUGGAAAAAAGGCAAGAAUUAAGAAAGUAAAAAAAAAAAAGGUCAUUAAUAAUUUUAAGUUAAGCUUUUUUAUAUAUAUAAAUAUAAUCGCAGGAAUAAAUAUUGACAUAUAAAAAGGAGGAAAUCUUGAAAUUUCAAAACACUUUUAGAAAUAUAUAACACACCAACCUGCUAUUGAUAAUGAAACUGAUAUUACUCCUCAUUAGUGAUUGUGGAAAUAAAAUUAUGAGCAAUGUAAAUAAGGUUUACGAUAGACUGUACUUUGUACCACAAUUAGGAAUGUUCCAUCGUGAAAUAUCAAUGCUUAUCGCUAUAGAAGUAUAUAAGUGUGCAUGUACAUUACCAGUCAAAAGUGUGGACACACCUGCUCAUACGUUAUUUCAAUUACGGAUUAUUUUCAAAUGAUGAUAAAAAAUGAACUUGAUGAUGAAAAAUGGAAUUAUGUAGUGGCAAAGAAAAAAAGUUUUAAACAAAUCAAAACUAUUUUAUAUUUUAAAUUCCUACACAACAUUCCUGAUCUUGUACACUCCAGCCAUCUUCUCGACCAGCUUUACGAAGCUCCUAAAUCGGCCGAGCCCCUCACCGAGUCUCCAAAGUGCAAAAUAAAUACUACUCUUUAUUUUUUUCGGAGAAACCAUUUUAUUUAAUAUUAAGUAAAACUACUUAUUAAAAAGAUAUAUUUUGAUUCAGGAAUCUGUCUGAGUCCUUAACUUUAACAUUUGUCUUAGAAACGAUUUUCAGCUUCUUUUUUUUUUUUUUUUAUCAAAACAUCUUCAAGACAAAUGUAAAAUAUCUAUUCACCUUAUUGUUGUGCAAACUUUUGACUGGUAGUGUAUACACGUUAUAAUAAAUAUAAACCCGAAUGCAAGAAAGGCUAAUGUAUGAAUAUUAAUAUGCAUGAGAUAAAUUUAAGCUAAUAUGGUAUGAUAUGGCUUCAGUAAAAUUACAAUCAUGUUUUAUGUAACUUCUUCCAACCUCACUGAAUUAUAGCUUUCUUGUUCUCAAGAUGGGUAAACUCCAAUAUUAGCUCUCGCCCAUAUACUCCAACAUUCAGAAUCUUUUUAUUUUCCUUUUUCAUAAAGCCCACAGUGAUUCGGGCCUCCGAGACUUGAAUGUGAUACAGCUUGCGAAAUAACCUCAAAUUAUGUGCAAUAUGGUUAUCUCUCCAAAACCAAUCUCUGCAGUGUAUUUCUUGAGUUGCUCACAGACCCACCUCCUCUCAUUAUAACCUUUUCUUCAUUCUCUGAUUUGUACUAAAAUGCCACUAUGUGUAAAAAGAAAAAAACAACAAAAAAGGUUAUUUUUUACUUUUUGUGUAUUCACAUAUUUUCCUACUUAAUUUUAUGCUACUGUGAUUAAAAUAAUUGUAAAUAUUCGGUGAAGAACGUAUGAAACGUUAUAUUUCAAUUGGAAUGUUGAACUUUUGUCAUUCGAACAUAACUAGCGAUUGGUAAAACGGUACGCUUAUUAGAAUUUCAAGUUUUAUUAAUCACAAUAUUGUGCAUCAUGUCUACAGAAAAAUAAGAAAAGUAUCAGAAUAUUCUUGGUGUAACUGCUAAUUUAAAUUGACAUAGUUUAUAACUAUCAGAAGGUUGUAUUUAUCAAUAGAUUUUUAUAAGAGGUCUAAUUUUUUGCUAUGCCAUUUAUAAGUUUAGAUUUUCUUUUUUUUAUAUAUAUUUUACCACCGUAUGGAAUUGAGGGAAAGAAAUCAUUGUUUUAUAGUUGGGUUAGUCAGUGUGCUGUUGUAGUUGAGUCCAAUGUCUUAAUUAUUUGCAGCCAGCUAUUUAUAACAGUAUGCCUAAUUUUUAAGUAUUUGUAUUGUGAAAUGUUGAAUGAAUAAACUUAAUAGCAAGAA
ensembl:lncRNA